rnacentral:lncRNA from 1 species
CUUGUAUUGUGUGCUUAUUUAUUUGUUUAUUUGAAUUCUUUUAUUCUAUUAAGGGACUGGGCUAGGUGCUGAUAAUACAAAAAAGAUUAAGAUUCCUUUCCUCUUACUUGUAAUCAUCUGAUUAAUUGGCUGUUUCAUGGAUGUCACAGGGAGCAGACUGUAUAUUCCAAAGAUGACUACAGCAAGAUAUCCCAUUCUACAGGAUUUUCUACAAUCUCGCUACUCCUUCAUCAAGAGAUGUUGCGUCUAGAGAAUUGUCUCAGUUGAAGACGGCUAUAAUCUGCAGGCUGUAGCAGAGGCCCAAUGACUGCUUGAGGAUGGAAUUUGACAGGGGGCCCUUUCUCUGUUUGCUGUCACAAAUUUGAAACGAGAUCAAAGAUGAGCAUUCAACAGCACAAGCUUUAUUCAAUGGCCAAAGAAUGGAGAAGUGGGAACUAAGUUCGCAAAUCAACUUCUCAGCUCUUGGGGUGAUUAAG